GAAGGGGGGUGAUUUAUUAGAUAAAAAACCAACGCCCUUCGGGGCUUCUUGGUGAUUCAUGAUAACUUCACGGAUCGCAUGGCCUUGCGCCGGCGACGGUUCAUUCAAAUUUCUGCCCUAUCAACUUUCGAUGGUAAGGUAUUGGCUUACCAUGGUUUCAACGGGUAACGGGGAAUUAGGGUUCGAUUCCGGAGAGGGAGCCUGAGAAACGGCUACCACAUCCAAGGAAGGCAGCAGGCGCGCAAAUUACCCAAUCCCGACACGGGGAGGUAGUGACAAUAAAUACUGAUACAGGGCUCUUUUGGGUCUUGUAAUUGGAAUGAGUACAAUUUAAACCUCUUAACGAGGAACAAUUGGAGGGCAAGUCUGGUGCCAGCAGCCGCGGUAAUUCCAGCUCCAAUAGCGUAUAUUAAAGUUGUUGCAGUUAAAAAGCUCGUAGUUGAAACUUGGGCCUGGCUGGCAGGUCCGCCUCACCGCGUGUACUUGUCCGGCCGGGCCU
rnacentral:rRNA from 1 species